AUUGAACGCUGGCGGCAUGCCUUACACAUGCAAGUCGAACGGCAGCACGGGAGCAAUCCUGGUGGCGAGUGGCGAACGGGUGAGUAAUGUAUCGGAACGUGCCUUGUCGUGGGGGAUAACGUAGCGAAAGCUACGCUAAUACCGCAUACCAUCUAAGGAUGAAAGCGGGGGAUCGCAAGACCUCGCGCGACAAGAGUGGCCGAUAUCAGAUUAGGUUGUUGGUGGGGUAAAGGCUCACCAAGGCGACGAUCCGUAGCUGGUCUGAGAGGACGACCAGCCACACUGGAACUGAGACACGGUCCAGACUCCUACGGGAGGCAGCAGUGGGGAAUUUUGGACAAUGGGCGCAAGCCUGAUCCAGCAAUUCCGCGUGAGUGAAGAAGGCCU
rnacentral:rRNA from 1 species